rnacentral:rRNA from 1 species
CCUACGGGGGGCUGCAGUGGGGAAUAUUGGACAAUGGGGGCAACCCUGAUCCAGCCAUGCCGCGUGUGUGAAGAAGGCCCUCGGGUUGUAAAGCACUUUCAGUGAGGAAGAACGCCUGGUGGUUAAUACCCAUCAGGAAAGACAUCACUCACAGAAGAAGCACCGGCUAACUCCGUGCCAGCAGCCGCGGUAAUACGGAGGGUGCGAGCGUUAAUCGGAAUCACUGGGCGUAAAGCGCGCGUAGGUGGCUUGAUAAGCCGGUUGUGAAAGCCCCGGGCUCAACCUGGGAACGGCAUCCGGAACUGUCAAGCUAGAGUGCAGGAGAGGAAGGUAGAAUUCCCGGUGUAGCGGUGAAAUGCGUAGAGAUCGGGAGGAAUACCAGUGGCGAAGGCGGCCUUCUGGACUGACACUGACACUGAGGUGCGAAAGCGUGGGUAGCAAACAGGAUUAGAUACCCUUGUAGUC